GCCGGCGUGGUGGAAUUGGUAGACACGUAGCUCUCAAAAAGCUAUGACUCGCAAGAGUCGUGUCGGUUCGACUCCGACCGCCGGCA
rfam:Microgenomates (Levybacteria) bacterium GW2011_GWA2_40_16 TT85_C0017, whole genome shotgun sequence.